GUGAAAGGCAGUGGGCUAAGUGGUAGUGGGAGAAGGAAGAUACAGAGUGCUUUCAAAAGUGCCUAAAUGUAAGUCAACAGGGCAGUGUGCCAAUUACAAUGUUAUAAUGUUCUACAGAAGAGGGAUGUACACCAAGAAUGCCAGCCUGGACCUCUGGUGUGUCUUGGAAGACUUAACCAGGAAGGGGACGAUUCGUUUCUAUUUGACCCAAGACUGAUGCUGCAUGGUGAAGGAGAGGAACUGCGUUCCAGGCAGAGGAAGUCCAGAUGCGCAAGAGCAGAGAUGGGAGGGACAGCACAGUGGCUUCUCAGAAUUGAAUAUGGUGUUAGACUUCUAAAAGAGCUGUGGUAGAGGGAGAAAACUGUCAAAGGAAAUCAGUAACUGUUAAAGGAAAAUACCUUAAACGUCCUGUUUUCAGGCUGACUAAUGCCUUAGGGGAGCAAAUGAGCAACAGAAACGAUACGAGCAACUGCUGUUCUUUCAAAAUACCCAGGCAGAGGAACCGGCAGACGAUGGGCAGCAUCGAACAAACAACUGAGAUCCUGUUGUGCCUAUCACCUGUUGAAGUUGCCAGUCUUAAGGAAGGAAUCAAUUUCUUUCGCAAUAAGAGCACUGGCAAAGACUACAUCUUGUACAAGAAUAAGAGCCGACUGAGGGCAUGCAAGAAUAUGUGCAAGCACCAAGGAGGCCUGUUCAUAAAAGAUAUCGAGGAUUUAGCCGGAAGUUGUUGAAAUGGAUGAAAACAACAGACUUUUACUUUUAGAACUGAAUCCUCCUAACCCUUGGGACUUACAGCCCAGAUCUCCUGAAGAGUUGGCUUUUGGAGAAGUCCAGAUAACAUAUCUCACUCAUGCCUGCAUGGACCUCAAGUUAGGAGACAAGAGAAUGGUGUUUGACCCUUGGUUAAUCGGUCCUGCUUUUGCCCGUGGAUGGUGGUUGCUCCAUGAGCCUCCAUCUGAUUGGCUGGAGAGGCUGUGCCAGGCAGACCUCAUUUACAUCAGUCAUCUGCACUCAGACCACCUGAGUUACCCCACACUGAAAAAGCUUGCUGGGAGAAGACCAGAUAUUCCCAUUUAUGUUGGAAACACAGAAAGGCCUGUAUUUUGGAAUCUGAAUCAGAGCGGUGUCCAGUUGACUAAUAUCAAUGUCGUGCCAUUUGGAAUAUGGCAGCAGGUGGACAAAAAUCUUCGAUUCAUGAUCUUGAUGGACGGUGUUCAUCCUGAGAUGGACACUUGCAUUAUUGUGGAGUACAAAGGUCAUAAAAUACUCAAUACAGUAGACUGCACCAGACCCAAUGGGGGAAGGCUGCCUAUGAAGGUUGCUCUAAUGAUGAGUGAUUUUGCUGGAGGAGCAUCAGGCUUUCCAAUGACUUUCAGUGGUGGAAAAUUUACGGAGGAAUGGAAAGCCCAAUUCAUUAAAACAGAAAGGAAGAAGCUCCUGAACUACAAGGCUCGGCUGGUGAAGAACCUGCAACCCCGAAUUUAUUGUCCCUUUGCUGGGUAUUUUGUGGAAUCUCACCCAUCAGACAAGUACAUCAAGGAAACAAACACCAAAAAUGACCCAAAUGAACUCAACAAUCUUAUCAAGAAAAACUCUGAUGUGAUAACAUGGACCCCUCGACCGGGAGCCACCCUUGAUCUGGGAAGAAUGCUGAAGGAUCCAACAGACAGCAAGGGCAUCAUAGAGCCUCCAGAGGGGACAAAAAUUUACAAGGAUUCCUGGGAUUUUGAACCUUAUUUGGAAAUCUUGAAUGCUGCUGUAGGAGAUGAAAUAUUUCUUCACUCAUCCUGGAUAAAAGAAUACUUCACUUGGGCUGGAUUUAAAGAUUACAACCUUGUGGUCAGGAUGAUUGAGACAGAUGAGGACUUCAAUCCUUUUCCUGGAGGAUAUGACUAUUUGGUUGACUUUUUAGAUUUAUCCUUCCCAAAAGAAAGACCACAACGAGAACAUCCCUAUGAGGAAAUCCAUAGCCGGGUGGAUGUCAUCAGACACGUGGUGAAGAAUGGUCUACUCUGGGACGAGUUGUAUAUAGGAUUCCAAACACGGCUCCAGCGGGAUCCUGACAUAUACCAUCACCUGUUUUGGAAUCAUUUUCAAAUAAAACUCCCCCUCACGCCACCCAACUGGAAGUCAUUCCUGAUGUGCUGUGAGCAGAAUGGGCCUGGGAUUUUGCAAUUCUCUACAGAAAGAACCAAUGAACCCAAUAGGAACAAAUUCUCUGUGGAAAACAAAGCAUAACUGUAGUAGAUACGAAUCCAAUCACA
rnacentral:sRNA from 1 species